UCCUCCCUCCCUUUGGUGGGCAAGAAUACAAGUCGGUGGAUUUUAGGGAGCCAGCUGAAGCCUGCUGGGCCUCCCCUGGCGGUGCAGGGUCUGUGUGUUUGGACUAAGGGGCAAGAAUGGUUCGGUCCAAUCCUGACUGGGGAGAUUGUUUUUGCAGGUUUUCGGUUUUUUUUUUGUUUUGUUUUGUUUUUUGUUUGUUUUUUUCCUCUUUAUCUGGCAUUGCUUUUUGAAAGCCCAGGUGUGAGUGUUUGCGAGACAGUAAGAGUGCAUAGGACUGAGCCUGAUAUGAUGAAUAAGUUGAAUAUACGCCUGAACACGGAGGCAUAUCCAACCAAAGGUCACAUCACAGGGAGAUAUGCAUCAACUAAGAGAUUUCUACAACAGUGACAGAGCUUUCUGCACUAAUUGAUCUACAGCCUCAACACAAACACAGUAGAAAUGUGAGAAAACAAGACAACAGGAUAUCUACAAAACACUUUAAUUCUAACAGAAAUGCUUCUCUCAUGUGCACUGGAGGGGAGAAAUUUUCAGACAAAAACCUCCAAAAGAAAAUGUUGAAAGUGUUUGAAGAGAUGAAAGAAGAGAUAAGUAGAUGCGUGAAGCAAUUACUAAGCUGUUCAGUGAGCUCAUAGAAGAUGAGUGAGAUUUAAAAAGGCACCUGAACAAAUUAAGGACUAACAGGCACCUGAACAAAUUAAGGAUGACAAUGCAUGAUGUAACACCUUUAGUAAAGAAUUAGAGAUUAGAGGAAU